UUUCCGUAGGUGAACCUGCGGAAGGAUCAUUAUUGUAUAACCGAGGUGCGAGGGCUGUCGCUGACCGAAAGUUCGUGUACGGCCGGAUGCCCUCACAUACUUACAUCUCACCCCUAUUAGCAUCACCGCGUGGGUCUCCCUUUGGCCUGUUCUGAGGGGUGCUUACGUGUUCACACAUACUCUGUAUGCAGUGUAGAAGGUAUUUUUUGUUUUUGCGAUCACGCAAUCAAUACAACUUUCAACAACGGAUCUCUUGGCUCUC
rnacentral:misc_RNA from 1 species